rnacentral:rRNA from 1 species
CUAGCGUUGCUCGGAAUUACUGGGCGUAAAGGGCGCGUAGGCGGCACUGUUAGUCAGGCGUGAAAGUCCUGGGCUCAACCUGGGAACUGCGCUUGAUACGGCAGAGCUAGAGGAUGGAAGAGGCUCGCGGAAUUCCCAGUGUAGAGGUGAAAUUCGUAGAUAUUGGGAAGAACACCGGUGGCGAAGGCGGCGAGCUGGUCCAUUACUGACGCUGAGGCGCGACAGCGUGGGGAGCAAACAGG